AUGACAGGUGAAUCUGAUGCUGAACUGCGCUCUUUAUACAACACUUUACCUCUGCAUCAAUUCAGAGCAGCAAGUGGUGCCCAAGAGAAAAACAGGGAUCGUCAAACCCGAGAACACAUAACUUCCUCUUCAGUGUCUAAAAAGACUUGGUUAGACCAGAUUCUGGCUGCCAACCUGGAUGCAGAUGACCCUCUAAUAGAUGAGGAAGACGAAGAUUUUGAAGAAGAAAGUGAUGAUGAUGAUACUGCAGCUCGUCUCGUAGAACUGGAAAAAAUUAAAAAAGAAAGAGCUGAAGAGCAGGCUAGAAAGGAACAAGAACAAAAAGCUGAAGAAGAGAGAAUUCGUAUGGAAAACAUUCUGAGCGGAAACCCUCUGCUUAAUCUCACUGGUUCAUUCCAGCCUCAAGCCAACUUCAAAGUUAAAAGAAGGCGGGAUGAUGAUGUCAUCUUCAAAAAUUGUGCAAAAGGUGUAGAUGAUCAGAAGAAAGACAAAAGAUUUGUUAAUGACACACUGCUAUAUGAAUUUCACAAAGAAUUCAUGGAGAAAUAUAUUAAGUAGUACGAUUUUGUGGGCUUAAAGACUGUAAAACAUAAGGGAUCA